UGGGGAAUUUUGGACAAUGGGCGAAAGCCUGAUCCAGCAAUGCCGCGUGUGUGAAGAAGGCCUUCGGGUUGUAAAGCACUUUUGUCCGGAAAGAAAUCCUUGGCUCUAAUACAGUCGGGGGAUGACGGUACCGGAAGAAUAAGCACCGGCUAACUACGUGCCAGCAGCCGCGGUAAUACGUAGGGUGCAAGCGUUAAUCGGAAUUACUGGGCGUAAAGCGUGCGCAGGCGGUUUGCUAAGACCGAUGUGAAAUCCCCGGGCUCAACCUGGGAACUGCAUUGGUGACUGGCAGGCUAGAGUAUGGCAGAGGGGGGUAGAAUUCCACGUGUAGCAGUGAAAUGCGUAGAGAUGUGGAGGAAUACCGAUGGCGAAGGCAGCCCCCUGGGCCAAUACUGACGCUCAUGCACGAAAGCGUGGGGAGCAAACAGGAUUAGAUACCCUGGUAGUCCACGCCCUAAACGAUGUCAACUAGUUGUGGGGAUUCAUUCCUUAGUAACGUAGCUAACGCGUGAAGUUGACCGCCUGGGGAGUACGUCGCAAGAUU
rnacentral:rRNA from 1 species